rnacentral:rRNA from 1 species
UGGGGAGCAAACAGGAUUAGAUACCCUGGUAGUCCACGCCGUAAACGAUGAGUGCUAGGUGUUAGGGGUUUCGAUGCCCUUAGUGCCGAAGUUAACACAUUAAGCACUCCGCCUGGGGAGUACGACCGCAAGGUUGAAACUCAAAGGAAUUGACGGGGGCCCGCACAAGCAGUGGAGCAUGUGGUUUAAUUCGAAGCAACGCGAAGAACCUUACCAGGUCUUGACAUCCUUUGACCACCCUAGAGAUAGGGCUUUCCCCUUCGGGGGACAAAGUGACAGGUGGUGCAUGGUUGUCGUCAGCUCGUGUCGUGAGAUGUUGGGUUAAGUCCCGCAACGAGCGCAACCCUUGAUCUUAGUUGCCAGCAUUUAGUUGGGCACUCUAAGGUGACUGCCGGUGACAAACCGGAGGAAGUGGGGACGACGUCAAAUCAUCAUGCCCCUUAUGACCUGGGCUA